AACGCGAAGAACCUUACCUACCCUUGACAUGUCAGGAACCCCGCUGAGAGGUGGGGGUGCUCGAAAGAGAACCUGAACACAGGUGCUGCAUGGCUGUCGUCAGCUCGUGUCGUGAGAUGUUGGGUUAAGUCCCGCAACGAGCGCAACCCUUGUCAUUAGUUGCUACGAAAGGGCACUCUAAUGAGACUGCCGGUGACAAACCGGAGGAAGGUGGGGAUGACGUCAAGUCCUCAUGGCCCUUAUGGGUAGGGCUUCACACGUCAUACAAUGGUACAUACAGAGGGCCGCCAACCCGCGAGGGGGAGCUAAUCCCAGAAAGUGUAUCGUAGUCCGGAUUGUAGUCUGCAACUCGACUACAUGAAGUUGGAAUCGCUAGUAAUCGCGGAUCAGCAUGUCGCGGUGAAUACGUUCCCGGGUCUUGUACACACCG
rnacentral:rRNA from 1 species